AUUGGACGCUGGCGGCAGGCCUAACACAUGCAAGUCGAACGAGUGGCGGACGGGAGAGUAAUGUCUGGGAAACUGUCCGAUGGAGGGGGAUCACUACGGGAAACGGUAGCUAAUACCGCAUACCAUCGGAUGUGCCCAGAUGGGAUUAGCGAGUAGGUGGGGUAAUGGCUCACCUAGGCGACGACCCCUAGCUGGUCUGAGAGGAUGACCAGCCACACUGGAACUGAGACACGGUCCAGACUCCUACGGGAGGCAUCAGUGGGGAAUAUUGCACAAUGGGCGCAAGCCUGAUGCAGCCAUGCCGCAUGUAUGAAGAAGGCCUUCGGGUUGUAAAGUACUUUCAGCGAGGAGGCGUUACUCGCAGAAGAAGCACCGGCUAACUCCGUGCCAGCAGCCGCGGUAAUAC
rnacentral:rRNA from 1 species